rnacentral:rRNA from 1 species
UACGGAGGGUGCGAGCGUUUGUCCGGAAUCACUGGGCGUAAAGGGCGCGUAGGCGGCCUGGCAAGUCGAUGGUGAAAGCCCGAGGCUCAACUUCGGGUCGGCCACUGAUACUGCUAGGCUUGAGUCGACUAGAGGCAGAUGGAAUUCCGGGUGUAGCGGUGGAAUGCGUAGAGAUCCGGAAGAACACCGGUGGCGAAGGCGGUCUGCUGGGGUCGAACUGACGCUGAGGCGCGACAGCGUGGGGGAGCAAACAGG